AUUGAACGCUGGCGGCAGGCCUAACACAUGCAAGUCGAACGAGUGGCGGACGGGUGAGUAAUGUCUGGGAAACUGCCUGAUGGAGGGGGAUAACUACUGGAAACGGUAGCUAAUACCGCAUACCAUCAGAUGUGCCCAGAUUGGAUUAGCUUGUGGGUGGGGUAACGGCUCACCAAGGGGACGAGCCCUAGCUGGUCUGAGAGGAUGACCAGCCAGACUGGAACUGAGACACGGUCCAGACUCCUACGGGAGGCAGCAGUGGGGAAUAUUGGACAAGGGGCGCAAGACUGAUGCAGACAUGCCGCGAGUAUGAAGAAGGCACUCGGGUUGUAAAGUACUUGCAGCGGGGAGGCGUUACCCGCAGAAGAAGCACCGGCUAACUCCGUGCCAGCAGCCGCGGUAAUAC
rnacentral:rRNA from 1 species